rnacentral:rRNA from 1 species
AAUAAUCCAGCGGGAUGUCCCCAGGUGCGUCGGUCGAACGGGGAGCAGCCCAGAGCCUGAAUCAGUGUGUGUGUUAGUGGAAGCGUCUGGAAAGGCGCGCGAUACAGGGUGACAGCCCCGUACACAAAAAUGCACAUACUGUGAGCUCGAUGAGUAGGGCGGGACACGUGGUAUCCUGUCUGAAUAUGGGGGGACCAUCCUCCAAGGCUAAAUACUCCUGACUGACCGAUAGUGAACCAGUACCGUGAGGGAAAGGCGAAAAGAACCCCGGCGAGGGGAGUGAAAAAGAACCUGAAACCGUGUACGUACAAGCAGUGGGAGCACGCUUAGGCGUGUGACUGCGUACCUUUUGUAUAAUGGGUCAGCGACUUAUAUUCUGUAGCAAGGUUAACCGAAUAGGGGAGCCGAAGGGAAACCGAGUCUUAACUGGGCGUUAAGUUGCAGGGUAUAGACCCGAAACCCGGUGAUCUAGCCAUGGGCAGGUUGAAGGUUGGGUAACACUAACUGGAGGACCGAACCGACUAAUGUUGAAAAAUUAGCGGAUGACUUGUGGCUGGGGGUGAAAGGCCAAUCAAACCGGGAGAUAGCUGGUUCUCCCCGAAAGCUAUUUAGGUAGCGCCUCGUGAAUUCAUCUCCGGGGGUAGAGCACUGUUUCGGCAAGGGGGUCAUCCCGACUUACCAACCCGAUGCAAACUGCGAAUACCGGAGAAUGUUAUCACGGGAGACACACGGCGGGUGCUAACGUCCGUCGUGAAGAGGGAAACAACCCAGACCGCCAGCUAAGGUCCCAAAGUCAUGGUUAAGUGGGAAACGAUGUGGGAAGGCCCAGACAGCCAGGAUGUUGGCUUAGAAGCAGCCAUCAUUUAAAGAAAGCGUAAUAGCUCACUGGUCGAGUCGGCCUGCGCGGAAGAUGUAACGGGGCUAAACCAUGCACCGAAGCUGCGGCAGCGACGCUGAUGCGUUGUUGGGUAGGGGAGCGUUCUGUAAGCCUGCGAAGGUGUGCUGUGAGGCAUGCUGGAGGUAUCAGAAGUGCGAAUGCUGACAUAAGUAACGAUAAAGCGGGUGAAAAGCCCGCUCGCCGGAAGACCAAGGGUUCCUGUCCAACGUUAAUCGGGGCAGGGUGAGUCGACCCCUAAGGCGAGGCCGAAAGGCGUAGUCGAUGGGAAACAGGUUAAUAUUCCUGUACUUGGUGUUACUGCGAAGGGGGGACGGAGAAGGCUAUGUUGGCCGGGCGACGGUUGUCCCGGUUUAAGCGUGUAGGCUGGUUUUCCAGGCAAAUCCGGAAAAUCAAGGCUGAGGCGUGAUGACGAGGCACUACGGUGCUGAAGCAACAAAUGCCCUGCUUCCAGGAAAAGCCUCUAAGCAUCAGGUAACAUCAAAUCGUACCCCAAACCGACACAGGUGGUCAGGUAGAGAAUACCAAGGCGCUUGAGAGAACUCGGGUGAAGGAACUAGGCAAAAUGGUGCCGUAACUUCGGGAGAAGGCACGCUGAUAUGUAGGUGAAGCGACUUGCUCGUGGAGCUGAAAUCAGUCGAAGAUACCAGCUGGCUGCAACUGUUUAUUAAAAACACAGCACUGUGCAAACACGAAAGUGGACGUAUACGGUGUGACGCCUGCCCGGUGCCGGAAGGUUAAUUGAUGGGGUCAGCGCAAGCGAAGCUCUUGAUCGAAGCCCCGGUAAACGGCGGCCGUAACUAUAACGGUCCUAAGGUAGCGAAAUUCCUUGUCGGGUAAGUUCCGACCUGCACGAAUGGCGUAAUGAUGGCCAGGCUGUCUCCACCCGAGACUCAGUGAAAUUGAACUCGCUGUGAAGAUGCAGUGUACCCGCGGCAAGACGGAAAGACCCCGUGAACCUUUACUAUAGCUUGACACUGAACAUUGAGCCUUGAUGUGUAGGAUAGGUGGGAGGCUUUGAAGUGUGGACGCCAGUCUGCAUGGAGCCGACCUUGAAAUACCACCCUUUAAUGUUUGAUGUUCUAACGUGGACCCGUGAUCCGGGUUGCGGACAGUGUCUGGUGGGUAGUUUGACUGGGGCGGUCUCCUCCUAAAGAGUAACGGAGGAGCACGAAGGUUGGCUAAUCCUGGUCGGACAUCAGGAGGUUAGUGCAAUGGCAUAAGCCAGCUUGACUGCGAGCGUGACGGCGCGAGCAGGUGCGAAAGCAGGUCAUAGUGAUCCGGUGGUUCUGAAUGGAAGGGCCAUCGCUCAACGGAUAAAAGGUACUCCGGGGAUAACAGGCUGAUACCGCCCAAGAGUUCAUAUCGACGGCGGUGUUUGGCACCUCGAUGUCGGCUCAUCACAUCCUGGGGCUGAAGUAGGUCCCAAGGGUAUGGCUGUUCGCCAUUUAAAGUGGUACGCGAGCUGGGUUUAGAACGUCGUGAGACAGUUCGGUCCCUAUCUGCCGUGGGCGCUGGAGAACUGAGGGGGGCUGCUCCUAGUACGAGAGGACCGGAGUGGACGCAUCACUGGUGUUCGGGUUGUCAUGCCAAUGGCACUGCCCGGUAGCUAAAUGCGGAAGAGAUAAGUGCUGAAAGCAUCUAAGCACGAAACUUGCCCCGAGAUGAGUUCUCCCUGACUCCUUGA